NNNNNNNCUAUAAGCACAUUGGAACCCAGUGAAGUCAUCUUGCUGAUGGCUGGGACCUAACCAAAUAAGGAAAAGAAUGUGGGAUACUGUAUUCUUAGUACAAGACCAGCAAUGGUAUUCGGGAGUAAAAAACCGCUUUGGUUGGAGGUGCAAUAUGCUCUUCGAUGUAAACAGACACCAGGACAGGCACGAUAAGAGGCUCUGCAGAAAUGCAUCCCGCGUGAUGAUGUUGGCGUAGGAAACCAAUAUCUGCGUUCCUAAAGGAAGUGCUCGGCUUGAUGGUAAGUAAUUACCUAUAACUGACUUGGUGUGCUCCUGUAGGGGAAUGCCGAAAUAUUAGCUUAUAUGAGAUAAGAUUUUUGCUGAAGCUCCCUGAAGGUUGGAGGAUAAUCUAAACUCCUCCCUAGAUUCUGGUUAGCAAUAACCCAUUCCAGAAGUAUUAGGGUCGCUCCCUUUUGCUCAGCCUGGCGUGCUAGUGUGUGAAUAACAAAUUAGAGUAAGUAUUGUAUGACGAAGGUCGCCAAUGCUUUUUUUAUUAAA
rnacentral:sRNA from 12 species